GAUGAACGCUGGCGGCGUGCCUAAUACAUGCAAGUCGAGCGAACGGACGAGAAGCUUGCUUCUCUGAUGUUAGCGGCGGACGGGUGAGUAACACGUGGAUAACCUACCUAUAAGACUGGGAUAACUUCGGGAAACCGUAGCUAAUACCGGAUAAUAUUUUGAACCGCAUGGUUCAAAGGUGAAAGACGGUCUUGCUGUCACUUAUAGAUGGAUCCGCGCUGCAUUAGCUAGUUGGUAAGGUAACGGCUUACCAAGGCAACGAUGCAUAGCCGACCUGAGAGGGUGAUCGGCCACACUGGAACUGAGACACGGUCCAGACUCCUACGGGAGGCAGCAGUAGGGAAUCUUCCGCAAUGGGCGAAAGCCUGACGGAGCAACGCCGCGUCAGUGAUGAAGGUCUUCGGAUCGUAAAACUCUGUUAUUAGGGAAGAACAUAUGUGUAAGUAACUGUGCACAUCUUGACGGUACCUAAUCAGAAAGCCACGGCUAACUACGUG
rnacentral:rRNA from 1 species